UUAAGCGACUAAGCGUACACGGUGGAUGCCCUGGCAGUCAGAGGCGAUGAAGGGCGUGCUAAUCUGCGAUAAGCGCCGGUAAGGUGAUAUGAACCGUUAUAACCGGCGAUACCCGAAUGGGGAAACCCAGUGUGACUCGUCACACUAUCAUUAACUGAAUCCAUAGGUUAAUGAGGCGAACCGGGGGAACUGAAACAUCUAAGUACCCCGAGGAAAAGAAAUCAACCGAGAUUCCCCCAGUAGCGGCGAGCGAACGGGGAGGAGCCCAGAGCCUGAAUCAGCAUGUGUGUUAGUGGAAGCGUCUGGAAAGGCGCGCGAUACAGGGUGACAGCCCCGUACACAAAAGCGCAUGUGCUGUGAGCUCGAUGAGUAGGGCGGGACACGUGGUAUCCUGUCUGAAUAUGGGGGGACCAUCCUCCAAGGCUAAAUACUCCUGACUGACCGAUAGUGAACCAGUACCGUGAGGGAAAGGCGAAAAGAACCCCGGCGAGGGGAGUGAAAAAGAACCUGAAACCGUGUACGUACAAGCAGUGGGAGCCCCACCACUAAGCCAGUGGUGAACUCCACAUACGCAUCCUUUGCUGAGGAUACGGUUAACGGAGCGAAAGCGACGUUCAACCGCAAAAGAAGCAGAGGGGGCUUAGUGGUGGGGUGACUGCGUACCUUUUGUAUAAUGGGUCAGCGACUUAUAUUCUGUAGCAAGGUUAACCGAAUAGGGGAGCCGGAGGGAAACCGAGUCUUAAUUGGGCGUUAAGUUGCAGGGUAUAGACCCGAAACCCGGUGAUCUAGCCAUGGGCAGGUUGAAGGUUGGGUAACACUAACUGGAGGACCGAACCGACUAAUGUUGAAAAAUUAGCGGAUGACCUGUGGCUGGGGGUGAAAGGCCAAUCAAACCGGGAGAUAGCUGGUUCUCCCCGAAAGCUAUUUAGGUAGCGCCUCGUGAAUUCAUCUCCGGGGGUAGAGCACUGUUUCGGCUAGGGGGCCAUCCCGGCUUACCAACCCGAUGCAAACUGCGAAUACCGGAGAAUGUUAUCACGGGAGACACACGGCGGGUGCUAACGUCCGUCGUGAAGAGGGAAACAACCCAGACCGCCAGCUAAGGUCCCAAAGUCAUGGUUAAGUGGGAAACGAUGUGGGAAGGCCCAGACAGCCAGGAUGUUGGCUUAGAAGCAGCCAUCAUUUAAAGAAAGCGUAAUAGCUCACUGGUCGAGUCGGCCUGCGCGGAAGAUGUAACGGGGCUAAACCAUGCACCGAAGCUGCGGCAGCGACGCUUAUGCGUUGUUGGGUAGGGGAGCGUUCUGUAAGCCUGUGAAGGUGGCCUGUGAGGGUUGCUGGAGGUAUCAGAAGUGCGAAUGCUGACAUAAGUAACGAUAAAGCGGGUGAAAAGCCCGCUCGCCGGAAGACCAAGGGUUCCUGUCCAACGUUAAUCGGGGCAGGGUGAGUCGACCCCUAAGGCGAGGCCGAAAGGCGUAGUCGAUGGGAAACGGGUUAAUAUUCCCGUACUUGGUGUUACUGCGAAGGGGGGACGGAGAAGGCUAUGUUGGCCGGGCGACGGUUGUCCCGGUUUAAGCGUGUAGGUGUGUGUUCCAGGUAAAUCCGGUUCACUUUAACACUGAGGCGUGACGACGAGGCACUACGGUGCUGAAGCAACAAAUGCCCUGCUUCCAGGAAAAGCCUCUAAGCAUCAGGUAACAUCAAAUCGUACCCCAAACCGACACAGGUGGUCAGGUAGAGAAUACCAAGGCGCUUGAGAGAACUCGGGUGAAGGAACUAGGCAAAAUGGUGCCGUAACUUCGGGAGAAGGCACGCUGACACGUAGGUGAAGUGAUUUACUCACGGAGCUGAAGUCAGUCGAAGAUACCAGCUGGCUGCAACUGUUUAUUAAAAACACAGCACUGUGCAAACACGAAAGUGGACGUAUACGGUGUGACGCCUGCCCGGUGCCGGAAGGUUAAUUGAUGGGGUCAGCGCAAGCGAAGCUCCUGAUCGAAGCCCCGGUAAACGGCGGCCGUAACUAUAACGGUCCUAAGGUAGCGAAAUUCCUUGUCGGGUAAGUUCCGACCUGCACGAAUGGCGUAAUGAUGGCCAGGCUGUCUCCACCCGAGACUCAGUGAAAUUGAACUCGCUGUGAAGAUGCAGUGUACCCGCGGCAAGACGGAAAGACCCCGUGAACCUUUACUAUAGCUUGACACUGAACAUUGAGCCUUGAUGUGUAGGAUAGGUGGGAGGCUUUGAAGUGUGGACGCCAGUCUGCAUGGAGCCGACCUUGAAAUACCACCCUUUAAUGUUUGAUGUUCUAACGUGGACCCGUAAUCCGGGUUGCGGACAGUGUCUGGUGGGUAGUUUGACUGGGGCGGUCUCCUCCUAAAGAGUAACGGAGGAGCACGAAGGUUGGCUAAUCCUGGUCGGACAUCAGGAGGUUAGUGCAAUGGCAUAAGCCAGCUUGACUGCGAGCGUGACGGCGCGAGCAGGUGCGAAAGCAGGUCAUAGUGAUCCGGUGGUUCUGAAUGGAAGGGCCAUCGCUCAACGGAUAAAAGGUACUCCGGGGAUAACAGGCUGAUACCGCCCAAGAGUUCAUAUCGACGGCGGUGUUUGGCACCUCGAUGUCGGCUCAUCACAUCCUGGGGCUGAAGUAGGUCCCAAGGGUAUGGCUGUUCGCCAUUUAAAGUGGUACGCGAGCUGGGUUUAGAACGUCGUGAGACAGUUCGGUCCCUAUCUGCCGUGGGCGCUGGAGAACUGAGGGGGGCUGCUCCUAGUACGAGAGGACCGGAGUGGACGCAUCACUGGUGUUCGGGUUGUCAUGCCAAUGGCACUGCCCGGUAGCUAAAUGCGGAAGAGAUAAGUGCUGAAAGCAUCUAAGCACGAAACUUGCCCCGAGAUGAGUUCUCCCUGAGACUUAAAGUCUCCUGAAGGAACGUUGAAGACGACGACGUUGAUAGGCCGGGUGUGUAAGCGCAGCGAUACGUUGAGCUAACCGGUACUAAUGAACCGUGAGGCUUAACCUU
rnacentral:rRNA from 1 species